rnacentral:rRNA from 1 species
GACGAACGCUGGCGGCGCGCUUAACACAUGCAAGUCGAGCGGUAAGGCCCUUUCGGGGGUACGACGAGCGGCGAACGGGUGAGUAACACGUGGGUGACCUGCCCUCCAGCUCUGGGAUAAGCCUGGGAAACCGGGUACUAAUACCGGAUAUGACUCCAUGACGCAUGUUGUGGGGUGGAAAGCCUUGUGCGGCUGAGGAUGGGCCUGCGGCCUAUCAGCUUGUUGGUGGGGGAUGGCCUACCAAGGCGACGACGGGUAGCCGG